CUACGGAGGGGGCUAGCGUUGUUCGGAAUUACUGGGCGUAAAGCGUACGUAGGCGGACUGAUCAGUUGGGGGUGAAAUCCCAGGGCUUAACCCUGGAACUGCCUUCAAUACUGUCAGUCUUGAGUUUGGGAGAGGUGAGUGGAAUUCCUAGUGUAGAGGUGAAAUUCAUAGAUAUUAGGAGGAACACCAGUGGCGAAGGCGGCUCACUGGCCCAUUACUGACGCUGAGGUACGAAAGCGUGGGGAGCAAACAGGAUUAGAAACCCUUGUAGUCC
rnacentral:rRNA from 1 species